AUUGAACGCUGGCGGCAGGCCUAACACAUGCAAGUCGAACGAGUGGCGGACGGGUGAGUAAUGUCUGGGAAACUGCCCGAUGGAGGGGGAUAACUACUGGAAACGGUAGCUAAUACCGCAUACCAUCGGAUGAGCCCAGAUGGGAUUAGCUUGUAGGGGGGGUAACGGCUCACCUCGGCGACGAUCCCUAGCUGGUCUGAGAGGAUGACCAGCCCCCCUGAAACUGAGACACGGCCCAGACUCCUACGGAACGCACCAUUGGGGAAUAUUGCCCACUUGGCGAAAGCCUGACGCAGCCAUGCCGCGUGUAUUAAGAAGGCCUUCGGGUUGUAAAGUACUUUCAGCGAGGAGGCGUUACUCGCAGAGGAAGCACCGGCUAACUCCGUGCCAGCAGCCGCGGUAAUUC
rnacentral:rRNA from 1 species